GUGGGGAGCCGGGUUGCCAGAGAAAACACAGGACAUCCAGUGAAGUCAGGUGCCUCCUGACCCAGCAGACCCCCAUGAGCCCAGAUCCCUGAGACCUGGUGGCUGCCAUUAUGACAUUCCCCGACUGCAUCUUAGGACCCAAGUCUGACCCCCUGCAGGAUCUGCAGCUGUGUUACAGGAAAGGGGACCCGAUCCAGACCCCAAGGGAGGGUUCUUGAAUCUCGUGCAAGAAACAACUCGGGAUGCAGUUGCUGUGGUUCACACACCUCUGGCAGCUGGGCUCCUUGGGAUCUCCUGACAUUCUGUGCCCUCUGUGCCCUCCUCCCUCACUGCCAUCGCUGUCUUCCUGAGCCUCCUCCUUCUGAAUUUCUUCAUCACCAAGAAGAGGAAUCGCUGUUAGGUUUGGCUUUUGGGAAAGGGAUGGACCAGGCAGGCAGUAGGGAGGGAGACACAGGCCCUGGCAUGGGCGAUGGGGAGGGGAGAGCUGAGUGGGAGCCGGUGGGUCUGUCUUUGUUCUUGUCUCUGUGAGUUGCCCAUUGUGCAGAUCUGCCCCGCUCCUUCCCCAUCGCAAUGGAUGGGGACUCCUCUCUCUAGUGUUCAGGCCCCGGGCCCUGGGUCAGAUCAAUGCCUUUUUCUCCUGCACUCCGUUAGUCAGAAGAUUUGCUUGGCAUCACCUUGAAAAUGCAUCCAGAAGCAAGGCCCUGGCUCACUCCCUACUUCUGUCCCAGCCUCUCUGCCCUUCCAGCCACAGGAGACCUGUGUGAGCUGAAUCCAUUGCACCCUCCUCUGCUCAGACCCACAGCGGCCCCAUUUUUCUCGAUCUGAG